UAAAUAAUUUCUGUAUGCAAUUGUUUGUAAUCUUCUUCAUCAUCUAAAUAGAAGGUAGACUUAUUUUGUUUAGAAAACAUGCCUACCAAAUUAAGUGUAAACUAAAAGAAAGGGGUUUUCCAUUCUUUUAGAGUGAAUUGCAGCCACUUAUUUUUACCAAAGUUGCAACUUGGACUAGGAAAAAGACUAGAUUUUUACAUUGGGCCAGAGAAGUUUACAAAAGGAUUCACUUUGCACCACUUUCCUGUCCAGCUAUUCAUCUCUUUCCUCUCCAGCGUCUUGCCAAACUUGUUGAGCUCAUGAAGGAAGCAGCUUGCAGCUCCUCGCUGUAGCAGGGAGUCAGGUGCUGCAUUGAUUUUAAUUUGGGAACUGGGGCACGUCAAAUCCUUUGCGAUGAGCAGCAAACGGGGACGUUUUGCUGAAGUAGUCCACCAAGAUGCGCAAGGUGUGAGUAGAGAGUGUACAUCGAGUCCCGGCGCCUGACGAAAGUCGAGCUCACUAACAGAGCAAGACAUGAAUCUUUGCUCUGACCUCUUCUUCCCCAAAGUCCCAAACCCAUUGUCUCUGUGUUCAUGUCUCCAUUUUCCCUUGCAUCCCUCCCUCUUCUAUUAUGUUGUUCCGCUCACAUCAAGAUCUUGAGCUUGAGCAGUCCGGCAUCUCUCUCUUGUUUCUCAUCAAUCUGGUGCCGGCUAUGAUUAGAAACAAGAAGAGAUCACCGGCGUUGUUGGAGAACGCUCUGACGUGCGGGCCAUAGGGCCAUAUUGCAAAGUUUGGUAACAAAACCUAGUGUAAAGUGAAAAGGCAUAUGGAUGUAUGGUUUAAAAUGCAACUUGGGUAAUAAAGCCUAGCCCAAAAUGCAAUUCACUCUUUUUUUUAAUUGGAUUACUGAUAUUAGGUUGUCCAUUGUUUAUUGACAGAUGUAUUAGGUAGGACAUGAGGCUACACUAAAUACAUGGAUUUCUUAAGCCUAAUAUGAUUGCAUAGUUUGAUAGGCAAUCCAUCUGUGAACAUUUCAUUUAGAGUGUGUGCGAGGCUCCACAUAGCCUAUUAUGAAUAUGAUUGGAUGGCUAAAUAUAAUUGUGUAAUAAUUAUUUUUGGAA